rnacentral:rRNA from 1 species
AAGCUCGUAGUUGAAUUUCGGGGUUAGUAGGUUGGUCAUGCCUCUGGUAUGUACUGGUCUCACUGAUUCCUCCUUCCUUAUGAACCGUAAUGCCAUUAAUUUGGUGUUGCGGGGAAUUUGGACUGUUACUUCGAAAAAAUUAGAGUGUUUAAAGCAAGCUAACGCUUGAAUACAUUAGCAUGGAAUAGUGAAAUAGGACGUUCGAUCUUAUUUUGUUGGUUUCUAGGAUUGACGUAAUGAUUAAGGGUAGGAUAGUUGGG